rnacentral:rRNA from 1 species
AUGAAUGAGAAGAAACUUGCUUACGUGGAGAGUAAUAAAUUUUCUAUGCUUGUGCAUCAUGAAAAGAAUGAUUUAUGUGAUAGAUACAUUGUUGAAUUCAUUCAUGAUGCUACAGAAAAUUAUUAUGAGAGAGGAACAUAUGCUCUUACAUAUCUCAAUAAUAUCAACUUUCCUCUCUAUGUGUUGAAAGUUUUGAAGUCAUGCUUGUUUUGCCUUAUUAUGCUAGAUGAUUCUUGUUCCCAUAAAUUAUUUUCUCACAAAAUCCCUAUGCAUAGGAAGUGGGUUAGACUUAAAUAUCCUAUUCAUGUGAUUCAUGAUGCACCCGUUGUGUUUCAUUCAUAUUCUUUUAUGCGAGCAUCAUUGAAAUCAUCAUGCCUAGCUAAAAAGGCUUUAAAGAAAAGCGCUUGUUGGGAGACAACCCACUAUUUACCCCUACUGUUUGUGUGUGUGCACAUGAUUAUGCUACUGUACUAA